rnacentral:lncRNA from 1 species
AACAACAGCUUCUUGUGCUCUCCUCACCUUUGCAGCAGCGACAAGCUUCAUGGCUUCGGUGAUCUUCUGUGUAUUCUUCACUGAAUCUAUACGACUUCGAAGCUCACGGAGACCACAGUGAAUUGGGGUUACAGAAGAGGAUCUUGGGGUGUUGCUGCUGGAUGAAGUGUGAGUAGGAAGCUGAAAAGGGUUGAGAGAAGAGCAAAAAGAUAGUGAAGAGGUGUCGGAAAGAGAUGGUUUUGAGGACAUCCACAUUGUCAGAUUCGAGCAAGACAUGGUGGUAAUGAAAUUUCCUGUAGCUCAAGCCAGAGAUCAAAGAGAAGAGAGAUCUGGCUGCUGUUCUUGCGAGUGCCUUAUCUUUUUUUCUGG